AAAUUUUUAUAUAAAAGUAGGAUUAAUCCUUGUGAAUCUUUCAAAGAAAGUCAUAAUGUUGAAGUUUUCGCUUGCCUUGUUUUUCGUAACAUUUCUCAUCAACUUCGUUUUUGCUGAAGUUGAAGUUUCAGUCCACAGAAGUCCAGAUGUUGUACUAUCUUCAUCUUGGUUAACAGUACCAUCAAUGCUCGUGAUAGGAGUAGCAUCUCUCAUUCAUUUUUUGAGACGAUAGAAUUUGUAUUCUCACAAUAAUUAGUAAUGUAAUGGACGUAAUAUAUUGAAUAAAUAUUACAAAAUUUAAGAAUUUCAUUUUCCAUAUUUAUUUUUUAUGGAAUUUCCAUUACCUCAAUACAUUGCUGUUCAUUUUACUAUUCAUUUUGCUGAUAACUUGAUUUCGUUCAAAAUGUUGAAAUGAAAAAACCAAAACGUGAAAUAUAAUAAUUCUCCUCGAAUGAAGUUUUUUCUCGAAUGAUUCCUAUUGUCCUUGUAUAAACCCAAUACCAUUCUACUUCACUGAAGGUUUCGAGAUCAACUUAUGAUCUUUAGCAAGAAAGAGUAGGAAAUUAAUAGAAAUAGUCACAUGUUAAGGACGUUCCAAAAUUUUCUUAUUCGGAACGUGAUUUAAAUAGAUCAAGAGUGAUUUUUCCUUAUCAUACCACAAUGAUAAAACUCACUUUGUUUUUUGGAAUAUCGAAGGAAUCAACCACAUAUUCUUUAAGGAAAUCUUUUUUUUCCUGUACUUCCUGGGUUCCGAAUAAAAACAGUUUUCACUGUGAAUUGUUAGAUGAUAGACUUGAAAAAUUGUCUGAAAAAAAAUGAAAACACUACUAUACAUUUUUAUCCUCACAAUCAUAAUCUACUCAACCUUUGUUGAGGCUAAUGAGGAGGAGGAUGAAAAUCAGUUUGGAAUUCCAAAGCUUCCAUUAUUUCCUGAGAGGGAUGAGAUAAAACCUACAUUGUCACCUUCUUCAGCUAGCGUAUUCAAAUUACUACCUCCAUUUUUAGGAAUAUCGUUUAUUAUGUUAAAUUUAUUGUAAGAAAUGGAAAAAUUUGAAAUGUUAAUUAGAUUUCAUUAAACCAGUCUCAUUUGA